UACAGAGGGGGCAAGCGUUAUUCGGAAUUAUUGGGCGUAAAGGGCGCGUAGGCGGCUUGGCAAGUGGAUGGUGAAAUCCCUCGGCUUAACCGAGGAACUGCCGUCCAAACUGCUUUGCUUGAGACCGGGAGAGGUGAGUGGAAUUCCCAGUGUAGCGGUGAAAUGCGUAGAUAUUGGGAGGAACACCAGUGGCGAAGGCGGCUCACUGGACCGGUACUGACGCUGAUGCGCGAAGGCGUGGGGAGCGAACGGG
rnacentral:rRNA from 1 species